rnacentral:rRNA from 1 species
GUGGGGAAUCUUGCGCAAUGGGCGAAAGCCUGACGCAGCCAUGCCGCGUGAAUGAUGAAGGUCUUAGGAUUGUAAAAUUCUUUCACCGGGGACGAUAAUGACGGUACCCGGAGAAGAAGCUCCGGCUAACUUCGUGCCAGCAGCCGCGGUAAUACGAAGGGGGCUAGCGUUGCACGGAAUUACUGGGCGUAAAGGGCGCGUAGGCGGACAGCUUAGUCAGAGGUGAAAGCCCAGGGUUCAACCUUGGAAUUGCCUUUGAUACUGGCUGUCUUGAGUGUGGGAGAGGUGAGUGGAACUCCGAGUGUAGAGGUGAAAUUCGUAGAUAUUCGGAAGAACACCAGUGGCGAAGGCGACUCACUGGCCCAAUACUGACGCUGAGGCGCGAAAGCGUGGGGAGCAAACAGGAUUAGAAACCCUUGUAGUCC